rnacentral:rRNA from 1 species
AUAGUAGUGUCAGAGUUUGUAUCCUCGGCGUCAGGGACGAACGCUGGCGGCGUGCCUAACACAUGCAAGUCGAGCGAAGGAUAUAUGAGGAAAUCUUCGGAUGGAAUCAUAUAAACUUAGCGGCGGACGGGUGAGUAACGCGUGAGGAACCUGCCUUGCACAAGGGGAUAGCCUCGGGAAACCGGGAUUAAUACCCUAUGAUACUUAAAAUUCGCAUGAAUUUUAAGUCAAAGCGAUUUAGCGGUGCAAGAUGGCCUCGCGUCCCAUUAGCUAGUUGGUAAGGUAAAAGCUUACCAAGGCUACGAUGGGUAGCCGGCCUGAGAGGGUGACCGGCCACACUGGAACUGAGACACGGUCCAG